rnacentral:rRNA from 1 species
GAUGAACGCUGGCGGCGUGCCUAACACAUGCAAGUCGAGCGAUUUACUUCUGUAAAGAGCGUCGGACGGGUGAGUAACGCGUGGGUAACCUGCCCUGUACACACGGUUAACAUACCGUAAGGUAUGCUAAUACGGUCUAAUAUUCUUUUAUCGCAUGGUAGAAGUAUUAAAGUUUUUGGGGUACAGGAUGGACGCGCGUCUGAUUAGCCAGGUGGUGAGGUAACGGGUCACCAAGGCGACGAUCAGUAGCCGACCUGGGAGGGUGAUUGGCCACAUUGGAACUGAGCCACGGUCCAAGCUACGAAGGGAGGGAGAAGUGGGGAAUAUUGGACAAAGGGCGAAAGACUGAUGCAGCAUCGCCGAGGGAGCGAUGAGGGUCUUCGGGUCGUAAAGCUCUGUCCUCAAGGAAGAUAGUGACGGUACUUGAGGAGGAAGCCCCGGCUAACUACGUG